rnacentral:lncRNA from 1 species
GAGUGUCACAUUGGGACGUUGCUAAGCGACAGACCCGGCCAAGAACAGGAACCAUUGAGGUUGGAGGAGGGAAGAAGAAAAUAUGUGGAAUUGAGGAAGGAGUAGCAAAACCCGGCCUGCCCUCCUGCCACGUGGAGGCAAGGGUGCACCUGCUGCUGUGGAGUUACUGGCACCACAGCAGGAGACUCAGACACGUGUCACCUUGCCACCUCCUCCACCUCCUGAGUGAGGGACUCUUUGCAGAAGGGCGUUUGCUUAGGAGCUGGGGAAGGAUAAAGUGUCUGGUUUGACAAGGAUCUCCCUGACUGCCAAGUAAUUUUGCAGAAAUGAG